rnacentral:rRNA from 1 species
AUGGUGAGGAGCUGGCGAAAUGAGGCUUCGGUUCGAGAAUGGUGGAUUAAAAAUGUGACUGGGCGUCGAGAUCAGAGAAAGGCCUUCGCCUCCUUGUUCAUGCUUAUGACUUGGGAGAUUUGGAAAGAGCGUAAUGCAAGGGUUUUUCGUAACACUGCCGCUACGACGAUGAUGCUCGUCGCGAAGAUAAAAGAGAAGGCCCAUCUUUGGACUAUUGCUGGUGCCACCCACUUGAGUAUUGUAAUGCCGCGAGUAGAUAUUUGUAUCCCGCUUUACGGUCACUUGUCUUAA